GGCGGUUGGCAGCCCGCAUCCGCGCCUCCACGGAAACCCCGCGAGGGGCUGUGGGGGUGACCGCUCGACCUGCUUCCCAGGCGGUGGUGACUCAGGGGGUUGAGGGCAAAGUGCUUAGAGCAAUGUCUGGAAGCACAGAGAAAAAUGACUUGGCUGAGGUUGGAGCUGGAGAACGAGCCCGGAUUUGACCCCAACUUUCAAGCCAUGACAGCAGGCCCCUCCUCUGCUGCGCUGGACUCGGGCGGUCCCUCCAGAGCGCCCACUGGCCGCCUCCUCCUCCGCCUCAGCCCCUGAUCUUCCCCAGGUGGCAUGCUCUUCUGCCUGGCUCUCUGCCUCUGCGUUGCUUCUGUCUCUUUCCGCAGAUUAGGCUGGAGCUCAACCAGAUUGUUCAACCAAGAUUCCCAAGAAAGGGGGAGGGCUGGGG